AAGUCGUAACAAGGUUUCCGUAGGUGAACCUGCGGAAGGAUCAUUAUUGAAUAAAAUUGAACAAGGCUGUUGCUGGCCUCUCGGUUGUGCACGUCUUGUCUCAUCUUUAUCAUUUCUCCCACUGUGCACAUUUUGUAGACCCUGGAGUCUUUGGAAUUCAUUUUUCGUGUUGGGACUGCUGUGCUUGAAAGUCGGCUUUGCCUUGCUUCUCCAGGUCUAUGUUUUCAUAUAACCUCUCUGUUUGGAAUGUUCCUAUAAUAAAAGUUAUAUACAACUUUCAGCAACGGAUCUCUUGGCUCUCGCAUCGAUGAAGAACGCAGCGCGAAAUGCGAUAAGUAAUGUGAAUUGCAGAAUUCAGUGAAUCAUCGAAUCUUUGAACGCAUCUUGCGCUCCUUGGUAUUCCGAGGAGCAUGCCUGUUUGAGUGUCAUUCAAAACUUCUCAACCACAUUGAAUGAUGUGGCUUGGAUUGUGGGGGUCUUUUUGCAGGCUUUCUCAAGAAGGUCGGCUCCCCUGAAAUGUAUUAGUGGUAUCUGUGCUACUAUGGUGUGAUAAAUUAUCUAUGCCUUUGGUAUGCUGCAUGAACUGCUUCUAAUUUAUUGAUUUACAUUAUGAAUUUGACCUCAAAUCAGGUAGGACUACCCGCUGAACUUAA
rnacentral:rRNA from 1 species